UUUUGGCCAUUUACUAAGCCUAAAUUCCUCUCUCUUCCUUUCUCUCGUCACUCUCUCUUCAUUCUCUCUACCGCCGCCCCUCCACCACCGCCGGAAAUCUCCACCGCCGGCGGACCACCUCCAAACACCUCCAAAUUCACACCAUAUAAUCUCCACAACUUCCUCUUUCCAUAUCUCCAAACCAAAUCCUUCAAAAACCCCUCAAACUCCUUGAAUCUUAGAUCUAGGAAACUUUUCCGUCACUUUUUUGCCCAAAUUCUUGAAGCUCCAACCACUACCACACCACAAUACCUACAUCAACGGAUAGAGCUCCUCAAGACCUAGCUAUUGAUGCCAAUUUCAUCCUGAAAAUCCGGCGACCAAAAUCCGACCAAAUUCCGUCGACCUCCCCAAACACUCUCUUUUGGCAUACCACCAUUUUUUUGGCCACUUGAAUUGUAAAAUGGUAAAAAUCUUAUUCUUUUUCAUGGUUGAUUUUUUAAUUUUAUUUUAUUUUUGUCUAUUAUUAAUUAUUUUAGCAUUAGUUUUAGAAGUUUGAAAUGUUAAAUUUUCUGUUUUUGCACUAGUUGAAGUAGUAAAAUAGCUUUGUAGUGAUGAAAGUGAGGUAGUGAGGAAAUACUUGAGAGUAUAUGGUACUUGUUUAUUUGUUUAUUUACUGCUUCAAGACUCUUUGAGUACAACACUCAAAAGUCAAAUUGUUUUGUAAGAAAAUAUAGACGUUUGGACAGUGUUUGAAUAAAAGUCUAUCUUUGAAUAGUGAAGAACAGAUUUUGUUUGAAAUACUUGACAAGAUUUGAACUAGAAAGUCUUACUUUUUGAAUUUAAGAGCAGAUUUUGUAGAAAAAUCUGUCAAAAAGAUUGAUUUUUAAUACUUGGUUGUUUUGAUAUAUAAAGAGGACACAUCCUUUACUAAAAAAAAAUCAGAUUUAGAGAUCACCUCUUACACUCUAAAAAGACAUAUAUCUUUGAGAAAAAAUCAGCAGCUUAAUAUAGAUAGCAAGCUGAAAUUUCAUAUCUUGGUGAAUAUUAUUUGAGUGCAAAAACUAUGGAAAAAAAUAGAAACAUCCAUUAGGCAAUGUGUGAAGUUGAUAGCUUCGAGUUUCAAGUAUCUUUGUUGAGUUUUCUAGGUUGUCUUAACACUUGAGUUACUGUUGUUUCUACUGUAUUUGCUGCUGAAUUUCUGUUGCUGCACUGCUGUAUUUUAUCAUUCUGCAAACCAGGUAACUUUCAAAUUCUUAUAUUGCAGAUUCUUGAUGGUAAUAAGAAGCAUUUGAUCCCGGUUUGGUUGAUGGAGCAUGUUAGAUUUGACUUUUUUUCAAGAUGAAUAUCAUAUUGUUGUUAUCAUCAUGUAAACAUGUUAGAAAUUAGUUAAAUUAUCGUUUUCUUCUUUAUAUACAUUGUUGAAAUUGCAUUUUGUUUUUACUUAUUUUAAGAAAAAGAUAAAGACCUCAUUUUUUAGCUAUGUUUAUUUAUUUUGGGAUCUUUUAUGUGAGUUACUUUUAAGGUUCAUGUAUAAUUAUCUAGGAAAGACUUCUAGCUUCAAAUGUGUUGAUGCUUUACAUUAUAGUCAACAUAAUAUUAUAAUAUGAUUCUUCUCUUUAGCAUUAAA
rnacentral:lncRNA from 1 species